rnacentral:rRNA from 1 species
UACGAAGGGGGCUAGCGUUGUUCGGAAUCACUGGGCGUAAAGGGCGCGUAGGCGGCUUUAUAAGUCGGGGGUGAAAGUCUGUGGCUCAACCACAGAAUUGCCUUCGAUACUGUAGAGCUUGAGACCGGAAGAGGUAAGUGGAACUGCGAGUGUAGAGGUGAAAUUCGUAGAUAUUCGCAAGAACACCAGUGGCGAAGGCGGCUUACUGGUCCGGUUCUGACGCUGAGGCGCGAAAGCGUGGGGAGCAAACAGG